AUGGCCUACGGGGGGCAGCAGUGAGGAAUAUUGGUCAAUGGGCGCGAGCCUGAACCAGCCAAGUCGCGUGAGGGAGGACGGCCCUACGGGUUGUAAACCUCUUUUGCCGGGGAGCAACGGGCGUCACGUGUGGCGUCACUGAGAGUACCCGGAGAAAAAGCAUCGGCUAACUCCGUGCCAGCAGCCGCGGUAAUACGUAGGUGGCAAGCGUUGUCCGGAUUUACUGGGUGUAAAGGGCGUGUAGCCGGGCCGGCAAGUCAGAUGUGAAAUCCCAAGGCUCAACCUUGGAACUGCAUUUGAAACUG
rnacentral:rRNA from 1 species